GUGUUCACUUUGGCCACACACAUGCUAACAUUGGAACAAUACAGACAUGAUUAAAAUGGCCCCUUCAUGAGGAUGACAUACAAAUUCAUGAAGCAUUCCAUCUUUGC
ensembl:snRNA U6 U6 spliceosomal RNA